UGUCACCCGGUGUGGCCCGCACCUGCUGCACCGCCCUAGUGACGCCCCUGCACCCACCCUUGGGCACUGAGGGCAUUGCAAUUUUCUUUGUUUAAGUAGAAAUUGUCAGGGGUGUUCCCUUGGCCGUUGCUGCCUCUCUUUUUUUUGAGCCUUAUGUGAUUGGCUCACAGUGGCCAGACUUAGGAAGAUAGAAAAAUGUAUUGUACUGAGCCAGACCCACUGGUGCAUCUAUACUGAGCAGCAUCAGCUCUCCAGGGUUUCAUGCAGGGGUCUCUCCGAGCUCAACCUGGAGAUGCCAGGGGUUGAAUGUGACACAUUCUGCAUGCAGAACAGCUCAGCUAUGGCUCAUUCCUCAUAUCUCCCUCCAAAUCGCACAAUGAUCACUCCCAGCUUCAUGUAGAUGUAAAAUAGUAUUUGAGAUAGUAUAAUGCCCUGUGGCAUGUCAUAAGCCUCCAAGGGCCAGGGGUUCAAGAAACUCUUAGCCAUCGCUACCUUCUCGAAUCUCUGGCAUCUCUUGUUGGGCACCAAGCACAACUUUUUUUUUUUUUAACAAGCUUAUGUGAGGCCAGGAAUUACCUCAAUCCAGAAGAUCUACUUAAAGGGGAAACCGAAGAAAGUUUGGGCAAAGUGCAGAAAACUUUUAAUAUUUUCAAUUAUUUCAAGCAGACCUUUGAAGAAAGAAGAGAAAAUCUCAGCACUUACUUUCAGCCAGGCCUAGAGACAAAGGAGUGGGAUUUUCCUUCUAUAAUGGUUUUUGCACAAUUUGAUACUUUUCUGGAGAGGCUCCAUGUGGUAGAUGGCCUUCAGCUAACUUGUAUGUGUGUUUUCGUGUUGCAGACCAAGAGCAGAGGUGUCAGAAAUGCCUGCAAAAUUUUUAGCAGGUGCCAUUAGAAUGACAUCUACAAUGAACAGUGCUGACUCAAUAUUUGGAAGUCGGGGAACAGUAUAAAUGCUCUCACCAUUUCAGUCAUUUCCACCAGUGUCUUUUGGCUUCCCGCAAUUUCUGGGGCUCACGUUUUCCUGCUGUUGAUUCUUUCUGGACUGGAACGUCAUCUAUCAACCUCAGAGAGAUGGACAUGCUCCCGUCACAGCCAUGGUCACAGCCCUAUCGUUUUCAACCUCAUGUAGUUCAUUAUCAUCACUACACAACAUUCCCACGUCCUCCCCUGUCUGUUGGAGUCCCCAUAUCAAUUUUGGAUGUGGCAUUCCUCCUGAGCAAAAACCCUGACCAGAGGUAUGGAGGGUUCUCAGCCCCUAGCUUUCCUCGUCAUUUUUCUGAAAUUCAUUUGCCAGCGCUAAUGCAACCAAACAUUUCUUUACAAUCCCGGUACAAGCUCACAUCUCCUCUGGUGACAGGCCCUGUGCUGCAUGCAGGAUGAGCUGGCCCCUUCAUUGAAUGGGAACAUGAUCAUCACAGGAAUGGAACAAAAUGGCACUCGAAUUGCACAAAAUGUAUUCACAGCAAAUGAUUGUAUGGGUCAGACAAACGAGCAGACUGGAUCCAUGAUUGCUCAUCACCUCUGACACUCAUACCUACACCUGCCUGCUCAAAGCUUCAUUUAGGUUUCCCUCCAAUUCUCUUAGAUAUGGAGCUUUUUUCUUCCUUUCUUUCAAGGCAACCUGAAGGCGCUUUGUCCAAAAUUCAAGGGAUUCCAAAUUCACUGCUCAUUCUUUGGUGCAUCUCUGAAUAUCCCUGAGGUCUGCAAGAUUUAUGAUGCUUCCACUUUCCUGAGAAGCUGUCAUUCUCUGUGUACUUAUGCCUUGUCUCAUUUUACUCCUCAUUCAUCUGUCAUUUCACUCUUCUGCACAAAAUGUAUUGUUCACCUUUCUGAAGCUGCUCAACAUGGAAAGGCUUCCCUGCACUCCU